rnacentral:lncRNA from 1 species
CCGCCGUAAAGCAACAAGAAGAAGAAGAAGAAGAAGAGACGGUCCAGCCGCAAGGGGGCACUGUGCUUUUGCAGCUUUCUGCUAAUAUUAGUAGAACUAGAAAGAAACAUCCGGGUAUUGUUCCACCGCAAAAGAAACGAAUGAUAGAAGGAGGUUGUCGCAUUCUGCUGCUAACUACAGGGAUACAGCGAAUUACUUUCUUUAUUCGUUAACAUGGCGGCAAAUGACGCCAAACACCACGAGUCCCUGUCCGGAAAAUCGCUCACAGAUGAAGAUCGUCAGCGGAGCUCGAAGCAUUGCUCGCGGUCCAGAUCACGAUCAGUGGACCGAAAGCGCAAGUCAGGAGACAAGAGGCACAGACGAAGCCACAGCAGAAGCAAAGAGCGUGCUAAUACACGAAGAGACACUCUGAACAGAAGACGCUGCUGACAGAUAGCAAAAUUAUAUGCCUACUACCUGGACAGGUAACUAUCAGUCAUUUAAACUUAUUUGCCUAUUAAACGAUAUCUUUUUGUCUCACAACCCCAGUUACUGCCUUUUUUGUAAACACCAACAGAAUUGCAAUUAAAAAAAAUG